UACGUAGGGGGCUAGCGUUGUCCGGAUUUAUUGGGCGUAAAGAGCGUGUAGGCGGCCAGGUAGGUCUGCUGUGAAAACUCGAGGCUCAACCUCGAGACGUCGGCGGAAACCAUCUGGCUAGAGUCCGGAAGAGGAGAGUGGAAUUCCUGGUGUAGCGGUGAAAUGCGCAGAUAUCAGGAAGAACACCGGUGGCGAAGGCGGAUCUCUGGGCCAUUACUGACGCUGAGGAGCGAAAGCGUGGGGAGCGAACAGG
rnacentral:rRNA from 1 species